CGUUGUUCUUGACAUAUAAAGUAAUUACAGAAUCAACUCUUAGAAGAUGUUGAAUUAGAGUCUGGAUGGCACCAAAAAUCACUGUUGUGAAGGACGAGACAGGACAUUUGCAUGUGAAAAGAUAGUGAAUACUAUCUGUAAAGAAUUGUGAAAUUACUACCAUAUUUAUUAUUAUAAUUUUGUAUCAUCACAGUCUUAUUUCAGCAUGACCUGCAAGAAUAGAUUAAAUUAAUGUCAUUUUCUCUUCUUGUUAACAUCUUUAUCACAAGAGCAAGCUGUCACAAUUUUAGUGUCUAAAAUAGUAUGCAAAUUAUAGAGGGCAGGAGCAGGACCAUCUCCCCAUUCUGCGCCUUGGUUGUCUCACCUCUACCGUUUCGCUCUUCCUUCCUCACCACACAGAGUGACAAUCAGCAUGAAAGCUCUUUGUGUCCCCCUCUCCAGUAAAAACCAGAAGACAGCCUUCACUAUUUUAAACCUCAAGGGGCCUCCCACGUCAAUCCAUAAGAAGAACCUUCAGGACGAAAGCUAAAGUCUCUCUCUCAUUGGGGUACUGUGGAAGGGGUCUUUUGCACCCCCACCAACUGCUCUGCCUCUGCCGAGGUCUCUUCCUGAACUGCAAGGGAACACUUGCUUCAUCAGAUCUGCAUCACGAGCUACAGGGAGUCAGCUUUUGAAUCCUUUCCCCCUGCUUCGUGAAGGUUCCUCCCAGGCAGUAAGAUUUUAGGGACUUCUCCACUUCGGGUCCACUGUUCUCCCCAGGUUGCAGGAUUUUCUGGGUUUUUGCUCAGUCUUAUACCCCAAAUAGCUUCCAUCAAAGUCCUUACCCAGAAAAAGCCUGCUUGGCUUGGCUUCUCUCUGUCUCAGCUGCUGCAUCAGCUCGACUUCCAUGUGGCAAGGGGGGAGCAUUGCCCCGCAUUCCUCGUCCUUCAGUUUUUGGCUGCCCUCGUCCAAACCUCACGUAGGGCACCUCCAAGCCCCUUGCCCCAUCUCUCUGUUACUCCAGUCUCAGCUUGAGUCACUCCCUCCCCCCGCCAUUGUGGGGGAGGUGGCAGCGAGACUGCUUGAAGUUUCUCUCUUCUCUGCCUGGAAUUCUUCCAGCUCUGCUUUACAAUCGCCGCUGCCCCCCCUUGCAGUGGGGCGAAACGGCAAGGAAACCGCCCUGGCCCUGGUCAAGCCAAGGCCAUGGAGGCCAAGGGGGACCCCGGGUUUGGGACCCCCCUCGACCACCCCUCGUGGCUCUGAUUCUCUUUGCCAACAACUUCCUCUCUGGCUGUUGUAAUAUGCUAAUUUCACAGGGGCGAAAACGAAACUCUCCAUUGGCCCCUGCACUGGAAACUUACUUGGGAUUAACCAUUUCCAGCGCCAGGGGAGGCCAGAUGAGUGAAACCACUACAUAUAGUCCACUUGUAGCUAUAGAAAUGAGAUGUAUAUCUCAGGUAUAUGUUACAUGAGAUGUCUUAUCACCUUUUAGGAAAGUAGGAAGUGGUUGAAGGAAGUAAAAUGUUGAUAUUUGGAUGGCAGGUAAAAGAAUGUUGCAGACUCACCUUAGUGAGUUAUGAAUAAGUAUUACAUCCAUUUAAAGUUGUCUCAGAUCACAUUGUUCAUGGGGUAUUUUUAAAAACCCAAUUGAUAUAAUGUCAGCUCAACUUUUGUACCUUUCAGCAGGGAAAAAGAAGAAAGAUGUUUUUAGUUUGGUGAGUCUUUUACCAACUUAGACUUGUCAAGGUGCUUGCAACAUCAGGUAGGAGCGCUUUCUUUCGGAGUGCAGCAUAUGUUUGUGACGCCUUCAGGCUCCUGGCAUGCAGGUGCAAUGUGACCAUUCCUCUCCAACUCCAGUUAUGGAGAGAUGCCCUGUUUCUUUUUGGCUAAAUGUUAGAUAGCCAAUAUGAGGGACUGGAUGUGUGGGUAUUUCACUGAAUACCCCAGCUUCAAAUUUGCUCUACAAAUCCCUGGGUUUGUCUGUAAUGGCUCUGUGCCAUUGCAAAUGUAUGUCUUGUAUGUCUUGUAAAUGUACUCUUGUACCGCUGGACAGAUAUCAGUAUUGCAGCUGUUGUGUUGUCAUCUUCUUAGAGAAUGUGAUAUAAACAUCCAGAGCCAUAUGAAGAGCAGUGUGAACAACAAUGGUUUGCCAAUUGGAGCUGGCUAUUCUGGACAUUUAGGUACACCACAGAUAAUAUCCCCUCUCUUCCCUCCAGACAGUUGAGCUCUGGCCUCUGGUGGUCCAGGACACACUCCUUUCAACUCAACAAAAAGACUUCAUGUCUAUUCCCUUUAGUUAUAUUCUGCUUGAUAAUGAGCAGUAAGGUGAAGUAAAUUACUUAAACAAGCAGACAAUUUUUUCUAAUGGCUAGUGAAUGGAUUUUCGGGGGGUUCGGGCUUCUUCACCUAAAUAUGGUUUUCAGUGCUAACAAUCCAGAGGCUCUGUCUGUCUGACCAUUCAUCUGACCAUUCCCUAACCUCUAUCUGCCAAGCUAUCUGAAUUUAAAAACAUAGCACAACCUAAUACCAAGACAGCAGCUGAACAACAAAGCUGAGAAAACUGGAGGUACAAUGAAGAAUAAGUUUUGGGCAAGCUGCUGUUCCAGCUCAGCAGCAAAUAAAGCAAUCUGCAGCAUCAUUUGCAUGCAUAAUUCAAGAGGGUGCUUCUUAGAAGAAAGUAAAACCAAAUCCUUGUGGAGUUCCAAAAUAAUCUCUACUUUCUCUUUGAUACGGUGAAUAUGUUGACCGCUCAUUUGUAUUGGGAGUUUUUGGUCUAUGACUAUCCAAAGGUUAUAACUGCAUACCAGUUUCCAGAAGGAUUAAGAGAAUAAGGCAUAAUUUGAUGUAGGUCAUGUUGCUGUCAAAUGAUGGCUUUCUAGCAUGGUAUAUUUAUAUACUACUAAUUCCAGCUUUCAUUGUAUGUAAAGGAUGAUUACUUAUUUAAUGAAGAGUCUUCACUGGAACAGAGUUUUGUCACAAGAUAAUGGUCUCAUGCUGUUAACUAAAUGGGAAAGCAUUUACUGUAAAAUAUAUACACUCUAAUUUAUGAGAUUAGCUUGUACAAAGGGAAGAUCCAGCAAUGGGAUGUGGGCAAACUUAAGAAAAUAUAUUAUGAGAAAAAGAAUAUUUGUUUGUCCAUAACAACAAAAGUGGUAACAUAGGGAAAACCCCCUACUUUGUUGUAUUCUUAUCCUCAAAUAUGUAUACAUGUCAAAACCUGCUUAUACCAAUGCAAGUUAUAUGCAUCUGUGGAAAAAAAAACGUAAUGGUGACUGCUGCAGAACUGCAGAAUUCAACCUUUCUGCCACUGGAGACUGGGUAAAUAACAAAAGGGUGUUUUGCAUGAGUUUCUAUGGCUCUUGGCUUAGGUACCUUUCACCCCUAAGUACAUGUUAAUGUUCUGCAUUCAGCACAUGUUCAAGGAGCGCUCCCAACUUCUCUUUAAGUUCUGUUAUUUCUAUUACCAAUAUAAAUGAUUUUGCAUAUAGGAGUUUCCUAAUAUUCCUGAAUGUGGUGUUAAUGUACAGCUAUAAACUCAAAGUGUUAAUGAGGACUAGUGAGACAAAUGAUCUCCCUAAGGGGAAAGUGUCAGUUACAUAAUCAUAAUCAGAAUACAUUAAAUCUGGUAGGCUGCAGGUUUUUAAUAAAAAACAGCAAAAUGAAGGGCUGAAUUUAUAGCCAGCAGACAAAGGUCCCUUAAAAAUAGGCCUUUGAAUGCUUCCUGCAAGGUCAGAUCAAGGGUGAUGAAAUGAGAAUUGACCAAACACAAGAGCAAUUCCCAGCUAAAUAAAAAGCCAGAUAUUAUUUUCUUCACUGACAACAGAAAAUGAACAUAGAGACAAGAAGGGUUGAUCACUGAUGCCAAAAAUGUACUUUCCAUUCUCUGAGCUUUCUAAAGUCUCUUCUUUUAUCCAUUUUCUAUUUUUCAUCAUAUUGCCAUUCUCCCUUUUUUGUCAAUGACCUUUCUUCAGUCCAACUCAGCUUCUGUCUAAUGACCUGAAGAGGCCUUCUUCACAGCCUGGAAAGCUUUAGAUUUAAGAUCCCCCUCCUUCAUUAGAGUGAAAAGUGAACAGCCUCUAUGUGCUGGGUGUUAAUGAAUGUGAAGAAAGAUUUUUUUUGUAUGUAUUUUACACAUUAUGUUCUUGACUCCUUGAGGUGCUACAAUAAAUUGCUGCGCUUCAUUUACAAGGAGUGAUAACAGAAGCAAAAUGAGGAUCUGGCAGCAAAUUACUUCUCUGUUCACCCUGGGUCAGGCUGCUGGGGCUAAUGAGAAGAGGUGCUCUAAUUUUAAACUCCUCCUCAACCAAGCUAUUCUUGCAUUAAUGUUCACUGCUAUAAAUUGUAAAGUCAAAUGAAGGAGCACUGUUGAAAAUUAACCAGUAUUUUUAUCUUUUGAGUAUCAAUAGAACAUAUUUUGGCUUCUAAGCCUGGUGGUUAUCAAAGGCAGCACAGCUACACCAGCCGCUCCUGCCUCACUGCGGCAGGAUGCUCCUUGCACCCACACACCACUGUUCCUGCCUUUUCUUUACAUGAGAGGCGGAAAUGGUAUGGCUUUACAACCAGAUUAUAAUUUAACUCAAAGAAGAAGGUGUUUAAAGCCAGUCUUUUUUGUGUCCCUUUAACAGGACACUGCACAGAGGCACUAAAAGUCGUGCAGAAUUACUCUGUUCAUUUAAUGCUGCUGCAUGUUUAAUGAAUUGUAAUUGUGUAUAUGGAAAGACCCUGUAAAUCACUGACCCAUUUAUGUCUAUGAACUCUUUGUUGCUAUAAGCCCAAAGCAGGAUUUGAGUAGUUAAUGAGAAACUAAUGUAGCACCUGCUUCUCUCAUGAAAUAUCUUCCUAAGCCUAUAUUUUGCCAAUUUGACAAAAUCAAAUACAAUACAAAUAGAGGAAAAAAAAAUUUAAAAAAACUCAAAAAACCAAACCAGAAUAAAAACCCAAACAAAUAAAAUUCAACCAAAACCAUAUCCUACAGUUCACGCGUCUUUGAAGAACAUGAUUCCAGAUUCUCGUCACUGGAUUUUUUAUUGAUAACUUGACAGUGACUACAAUGACAUUAGUAUAUUUAAUACAUAUAUCAAUGACAUGGCAUUCAUUUUUUUUGAGAUGUGUCUGUCCUGGUACAUUCUUCCAUGAAAUUGCUACAUAACAUACAAAUUAACCACACUACCCUACUCUAAUCAUUGUAAUCAGUUAUGUUUUCAUGUGUACAUUACUAAUAUAUAAGGUUGUUGUAGUUCUUGUGUGUGGUUUAAUUGCUUGUUUUUGCAUAUCUUGUGUGAUUGAUGAUGUUCUAGAAAUCUUUUCCCCGAAAGGAGACUUUCUAAAUUACUUUGUUUAGAUGCUAAUGAUUGUAUUUCAUUAGUGGCCCUCUCAUCCAGAAUCAUCUUUAAAUGAAUGAAUAUGCCAUAAUUAAAAAUCUGAAUUAUGAAUUACUUUGAAAGGAGACAACAUUGUCCCGAUUUCCCACUGCGACUCAGUGUUAUUUCAAUUAUGUAAAUAUGUUUAAUCAUUCCCCUUUUGUUUUUCUAAUUAUUUAAUAUUAAUGUUGCUUUACCCCUUUAUUGCUACAAGAAGGGAUAUGGCAUCUUAAAUGAGAGUACUUAGACAAGUGAUACACAGAUGACUAGAUUCAAGCAGACAUUUACCAGAAUGCAUAACCCAUUUCAAAAACAAACAUGCUAUUAACAUUCAUACUAAUAUAGCAACACUAGCAGUAAUUGCCCUUCAUGCAUGUUUUGUCUUUAUAAACCUAAUGUAUUCACAAUGUACAAUCUCCAAUCAAUUUUCUUAUCAAAGUUAAAAUCCAUUUGUACAACUUUAAAUUCUCUUGAACUGCAAAUUUUAAGUAAUGAUAUUUCCCUGCCCACAGGCUGCACUUUUUCAAUAGUUUAAAAAACACAUAUAAAUUAUAAAGCAUCUGGACAUAAGAUCUUCUUUGCUUACUGAUACAGGCAGUUCUAUUUUACAGAAUUAGCAAGAAAAUUCUUUACUGUGAGUCUGAGUAACCUGAAAAAAUUAAUGCUAAAAUUCACGUAGAAUGCUGCACUUUUACUGAAAUUCACAAAAUGAAGGAACUAUGAAUUAAUAUCUGUAAAAUUUUAAACAUCAUAAAUCCACAUUAGGGGUCACACAUGCUACAUUAUUGAUAAUGGAAAUUAAUUAUAAUUUUUUUAUACAUCAUAGAAAUGUUAUGUGAGUUUCUAACUAGAUUAUAGUCUAAAAUGUAAUAAUUUGGCAUUUGCUUUGAAAUAUCCUGAAGUAGAAUUCCCAGAAUUACAGUAUCUCACUCCUGAGUGAGAGUAGCUGCACAAGUUCAAAGCAUUAUUUAAAAUAUAUUUAUUUGUAAAUAAUCUGAAACGCCACCAUAAGAGACAGAGAGAAAUGCAAGUUUUAUUUCCAUAUUCUUUAAACAACACUGCAGCCCUGUGAAAAAGUGAGAACUUAUUAGUGGAAGAUAAUGCAUCUGCUUCAGUUCUUACCAGCAACAGCCAUUUUUUUUUAAUAUAAAAAAAUACAUAUUUUUAACCAUAGGUUUUACAUUUUUCCAGCGACCAGGGGUCAAAAAGGAUAAAGAACUGUACAUGAGUAUUAUCAGUAAAAGCAUUCUGCCACUUCCCAUUUGAGUGUAUUACUCUCUGCUUUGCAGUUUUUGCAGAGAGAAUACUUCCAAUUAGCACUGCUUCUCUUUCAGCCUCUGAAUUACCCUUGGAUGAUUGAAUACAAAUGAAAAAAAAUUGCUAAUAACACGUGCUUGUUUGGAUUUUUUAAAAUAAAAUUUUCUAUAGGCAAAAGGGGUGUGGUCAUUUUCUACGGACUUCUCUGUACUGAUGUAGCCACAGUGGUGUGCUUUAUUCAUCACAUCACUCUUGCCAUCAGGACGAAGGUCCUGCCUGUAAGCAGAUUUGUGCAUUUUGUCAAACACACACAUACACACACACAUAUAACCAGUUCAGUAACUACUGUCAUGACAUGUAUUUUUGCAUAGAUUUCAUUUUUGUCAGUGCUUCUUUGUCAGUCAUCUUAAGCAGUGCUGAUAUUUUCAACCAAAAAAUGGCAUAAGGUAGCAGCUGCAAUUUCCAAUCUAUUACAAUUUUGUGUGUGUGUGUGAAAUACUUAAUUUCUGCAACUAAUUUAGAAAAAAUACUGGAAUCAACCCCUUAGUAUUUCUGCAUAACAGUUCCAGUGAACUACCUUUACUUUGGAGACCACAUUUUUUGAGAGAAGAUACUUUGCAAAACAACUUUGAAACAAGGUCAGAGGAGAAGAAAAGAGGGAAAAAGAUAGCCAAACUUUUAUGGCCUGAUAUAUUAAAAAUGAAGGAAAGAAAUAGCAGGAAGCUUAGCCCGGCAGCCUCUACUUUAUAUGUUAAAUUUUUCACAAGACAGUUUAAUUACAAAAAUUAGGAAUGGUAAUUGCUACAUAUAAAUGUAAAGUGUCUCUCUUGGCCCAGCACAGGGGAUAAAAAACCCCAACUAAAUCCCAAACUAUAAUGCCACUCUCUGUUCUCAGGAUUCUUAAGUAUGCAAAUAGUUUUUCCACUUAAGAUCUCACAGACACAGAUCUGGUCAAAGCAAAUUACCCAAACAGUUUGCAUUCAUCAGAGAGGAAAAGAGAUGAUAAGGCAGAUAAAACCAAUGAUUGUGGACAUUUUGAACAAAAGCCUGCCAUUUUACAGAGAAGAUUAUCUUGUACUCUAAUUCUCUAGUUACAUUGGUAGCAGAAUCUUAUUUUCACAUUAUAAGAUAAUGUGAGGUGAAAUGGUAGAUAAAACCUGCCUUCACUGAAGUGAAUGAAAAGAUUUGCAUUGGCACAAAUGAAGUACUUUUGUUCCAGGGGUUUUAUGCCAUGUGUAAUUUUUUCAGUGGUUUUUUUUUUACAGAUACUAGCCUUUUUAACAGAGUUCUUUAACAUUCAGUAUUAUUUGUACAGCCUGUGUUCAGCUUGGUCACAUGGAAUUAAUCAUCUCCAAAAAAAAGAUCACCUAGUGUAUCAGUUGUAAUUCAAUUUUCUCAUAUUCAUUUUUUUAAUAAAAUGUGCUUCUUUUACAUUUUACUUAAGGUGGUCAUAUUGCAUGGAAUUAUCAUGUGGAAUGUUACUCUGUGAAAUGUUAUGUAUGAGUUAUCUUCUAAUAAAAUACAGAAGUACAUAGAAUCUUA